UAUAGUUUUAAUUUGACUUUUUCUAAACUCUAGUAGCGUCAAAAUUUUUGUUUGUUCACUGUAAGAUAAAGUAGAAUUCUAAGAAAAGUGUAUUCAUGGAAUGAUAUGCUAAAAAUUACUUAUCAACAGUUAAAAUAUUCCAUUUGAUAACAUAAUUGCAUAAUACGUAUAAAAGAGGAUAUCUGAAAAAACAAGCGAAGAGUACGUCAGGAAGCACACACAGCGUUAUCAUCUAACAAAGCAUUCCAAUCUCAAGUAUUGCUUGCUGAUUUUGAUGAGCUUUUUAUGUUUUGCAAGGAAUAUCAUAAAAAUAAGUCAGAAGAUUUAUACAAUGCAAGAAAUUAUCACCAGAGAGAGUUACUCAGAGUACUGUUCAUCAUGGAAGACAGACAUGAAAUACAUUCCAUGCAGAUGCUCUUUCAACCUUUAUAAUCUCGCUUAUUAUAGUGUUUACGUCUAGAGUACAGACAAUAGCUAGGUCAAUAAUUCUUGAUUGACUCGUGUCACGUGAAAUAAAAUCAGAAAUGCGAAAGA